CGUAGGUGGCAAGCGUUGUCCGGAAUUAUUGGGCGUAAAGCGCGCGCAGGCGGUCCUUUAAGUCUGAUGUGAAAGCCCACGGCUCAACCGUGGAGGGUCAUUGGAAACUGGGGGACUUGAGUGCAGGAGAGAAGAGUGGAAUUCCACGUGUAGCGGUGAAAUGCGUAGAGAUGUGGAGGAACACCAGUGGCGAAGGCGACUCUUUGGCCUGUAACUGACGCUGAGGCGCGAAAGCGUGGGGGAGCAAACAGGAUUAGAUACCCUGGUAGUCCACGCCGUAAACGAUGAGUGCUAAGUGUUAGAGGGUUUCCGCCCUUUAGUGCUGCAGUAAACGCAUUAAGCACUCCGCCUGGGGAGUACGGCCGCAAGGCUG
rnacentral:rRNA from 1 species